UACGUAGGUGGCAAGCGUUGUCCGGAUUUAUUGGGUUUAAAGGGUGCGUAGGCGGACUGUCAAGUCAGCGGUAAAAUUGAGAGGCUCAACCUCUUCCCGCCGUUGAAACUGGUGGUCUUGAGUGGAUGAGAAGUACGCGGAAUGCGUGGUGUAGCGGUGAAAUGCAUAGAUAUCACGCAGAACUCCGGUUGCGAAGGCAGCGUACCGGCAUCCAACUGACGCUGAGGCACGAAAGCGUGGGGAUCAAACAGG
rnacentral:rRNA from 1 species